CACUGGUUUAUUUUUGUCCUCUCUCCCUCCUCACCACAUGAGAUGCCUUCACGUAGUCCCUCGAACGAAGAAAAACCUAUGAAAAGAAACCAACAAAACAAAUCGAGGCCCCCUCGCACGAACCGGGAGCGAGGCCUCCUCGCGAAAAAAAAUCUGACGAUCCAGGCUGCCCUCGAUCGUCUCGUUAGAGAACCACGCCCCAGCCGCCAUAGUGGAGUCCUACACCGCCGCCGAGAUCCUAGAGGAGCUGGCCACCGGACACCACGACCUCCCUCCCUAGCCGGCCGCCACCACCCCCUCCCCCAGCAGCCAUGUAUAGCGAGGCAGCGAUGGGUCUCGGCCUCCCUCCUUCCUUCGUCCAAGGCUAGGAACUCCCCUCCCCUACCCGAUCUCUUCCCUUCGUCCAAGGCCACGAGCUCCCCUCCCCUACCCGAUCUGACGGAGAGAGGGCCAGGUCUUGCCACUCCGGUGUUUGAUGUGGCCAGAUCCGGCUGGGGGACUCGCGCAGAGCCUCCAUGUCGGCAGAGCAGCAGCAGCCCGACAGAAGGGCGCUUCCGAUGCACAGAUGGCGGCGAUGAAGCAGCAGGCUCCGGAGAGCGUGCAGGGGAGGAAGGAGUUCCUGGUGGAGGUGCUGAUGCUGACGGUGCUCAGCCAGCCUAACUUCGUCAGCCUGGUCGGCUUCUGCGCAUAGGGGGACGAGCGCCUGCUACUGUACGAGUACAUGCCCUUCGGCAACCUAGAGAGCCAUCUCUUUGGGAUACUUCUUCUCAACUUGCUCUCUGCUUGGUCCAGUUCAUCUCUGCAAUGCAGUUAAUAUGUAUCCGUCUCUUCUCCUAACAUGUUAUAACUAAGCAUCCCUAUUGAAAUGCAUUGGCUUUUCUUCAUGAUGCAUGUGUUAUGGUAGGAGUUCUGUUUGUGUGGUAAACCUUCACACUACUGGUGUGUGUUCUAGAAAGUUAUUCGUGUGGAUUUGGGAAAUCAAAGGGGAAAAGAAAUGGGUCAUAGAAGAAUCAUCUAUGGUUCUCCUUUCUCAGUUCUGGGAAAGAGUUCACUUCAAGAAUUUGCUUUUCUUUUUGUUCACUUUCAAUUCCCCUUUGUCAAUCCCUCUCUCAUUUGAUUGUAGGAUACUGUGCUUACUCCCAUCUCUCGUUUGAUCACAGGCUUUCAAAGGUGGGGCAUGGGCUCACAGGUGAGGCCACUAGCGGUUCAACUUUGCACAUACAAGAAAACAAAAUCAAGGUUCUGCUGCUGAAUAGAUAGUUGUAAUCUUUAAUAUAUACACACACAUGGAUAAGUCAGUUAAUGAUUGCCUUCUGUGAUCAAAUUGGCUUGCUAUUGUGAAGGAAAUGAGUUGUUUGCUUCUGCUUCUGUGAUCAUGGGUUAGUUGGAAAUCAGAAUGUACGAUUAAUUAUUAGAGAAUGUCGCUCGCAGUUAAUUUCUAUAAAUCUGCACUACAAGCUAAAUGUGUGCAAUUUCAGUUGGGUUCCAAUAUAGAAAUUUGGACAAUAUAUAAGGAUCAAUACAAAUCCUGCUGCCUUCCAAUGAAUAGAUCUUUCAAAGGACAUCUUCUAAUACAGCAGCCACACAUUGUUCUUACAUAUAAAUCAUAUAAAUGGAUUCAUUCAGAUUUAUUUUGUUUCAUGUCCAUGAAAGUUCUCUCAUCUUUUGAUGUGUGUUUUCUGUAGGGACUUACUUGGUGUGAAAAUUAUGCUCCUGCUUUAAUAGCUAAUAUCAGGAACUAUGUUUUAGUGUUUAUUCCUUACCACUUCCAAUAUACUAAUGUGCCUACUUUUGUACAAUGUUCUUAACUGAAGUUGAUUGUUCAUGUAGGCACAAAUUGGACUGACAAAUGCUGACAGAGGAGGAGAACACCAUGCAAGUACGUAUGUGCCAAAAUUGAUAGAUUUACCUCUAGGCAUUGCAUUAUUUGCCGCAGUGUAGGUGUACUCUUUAAAGAAUUUGUAGGAGAUAGCAAAGGACUAGAUGAAGGAUCCGUUCCUUUUAGAAACAGGUGGAAAGCAUUCAAUUUACUAAAUAUUGUAUAUACCCUUCUCCUGAAAAGUUUGAUGUUGUUGCUUGGGAAAAAGGAAAAUGCUCACAAAUCAAAUCCUUUGGUACAAUGAUGACUUUUUAGGGAUGCAAAUUUUAGACUUCAGUCAUGCUUUAUUGGUCGUUUUUCUCCAAUAAUUAUCUCUUCCAUGUAGUAUAAACAUCUGGAGGUAUAAUUAGUUUUUAUUUUAUUUUGUACUAUAAGAUAAUAACAAUGCAUACAGUGGAGACUGAAUUAGCUUAGGACAUCAAAGGAAGUUCCUUUUGUAACUUGAAGAGUGUUCUUUCAUAUGUGUUGAUAACAGUGUGCCUCCAAUUAGUUUCUAGACAUCCUUCAUGUAUACUAGCUGCGUAUGUACUCUGGGAAACAUGAUUGGAUUUUGGGGUGCCAUGGCUUCGAAUCUUACAGAUCAGUCGUGAUCUUGCUAACAAAGAGGAGGAAGAAGACAAGGCAGCGGAUAUAGUCUCUGCAAGGUUGCCAAAGUCAGACACCAAAAGUUGUGGCGAGGAUGUACCAAGCGCUCGCAGGUGGUGAACACCCAGGGAAUAAUGUACCUAUAUAGGAUCAGGAAUCUGUUUGUAUCAAUGAAAUUGUUGUGCAUGCUCGUAGGUAUAUGUUCUCCUAUCUUUACAAAUGAAAUGAGUGAUUACAAAACUAUUUUUGAUUGAUGAAAUGGAUGGAUGUAUGGACAUCUUGUUAUGCAGAUGUCAUGUGUGAAA